GAUGAACGCUGGCGGCGUGCCUAAUACAUGCAAGUCGAGCGAACAGACGAGGAGCUUGCUCCUCUGACGUUAGCGGCGGACGGGUGAGUAACACGUGGAUAACCUACCUAUAAGACUGGGAUAACUUCGGGAAACCGGAGCUAAUACCGGAUAAUAUAUUGAACCGCAUGGUUCAAUAGUGAAAGACGGUUUUGCUGUCACUUAUAGAUGGAUCCGCGCCGCAUUAGCUAGUUGGUAAGGUACGGCUUACCAAGGCGACGAUGCGUAGCCGACCUGAGAGGGUGAUCGGCCACACUGGAACUGAGACACGGUCCAGACUCCUACGGGAGGCAGCAGUAGGGAAUCUUCCGCAAAGGGCGAAAGCCUGACGGAGCAACGCCGCGUGAGUGAUGAAGGUCUUCGGAUCGUAAAACUCUGUUAUUAGGGAAGAACAAAUGUGUAAGUAACUAUGCACGUCUUGACGGUACCUAAUCAGAAAGCCACGGCUAACUACGUG
rnacentral:rRNA from 1 species